rnacentral:rRNA from 1 species
AUUGAACGCUGGCGGCAGGCCUAACACAUGCAAGUCGAACGAGUGGCGGACGGGUGAGCAAUGCUCGGGAAUCUAGCCUAUGGAGGGGGAUAACUACGGGAAACGGUAGCUAAUACCGCGUACUAUCGGAAGAGCCCAAGUGGGAUGAGGUAGUUGGUGAGGUAAAGGCUCACCAAGCCGACGAUCUCUAGCUGGGCUGAUAGGAGGACCAGCCACACUGGUACUGAGCCACGGCCCAGCCUCCUACGGGAGGCAGCUGUGGGGAAUAUUGCGCAAUGGGGGGAACCUGACGCAGCCAUGCCGCGUGAAUUAAGAAGGCCUUCGGGUUGUAAAGUUCUUUCGGUGGCGAGGCGUUAACUACAGAAGAAGCACCGGCUAACUCCGUGCCAGCAGCCGCGGUAAUAC